rnacentral:rRNA from 1 species
ACGGAGGGUGCAAGCGUUAAUCGGAAUUACUGGGCGUAAAGCGCACGCAGGCGGUUUGUUAAGUCAGAUGUGAAAUCCCCGGGCUCAACCUGGGAACUGCAUCUGAUACUGGCAAGCUUGAGUCUCGUAGAGGGGGGUAGAAUUCCAGGUGAGGCGGUGUAAUGGAUGGAGAUCGGGAUGCAUGUCGGUGGGGGAGGCGGCCACCCGGAAGAAGUCUGCUGGUCGGGUGUGAGACCGUGUGAUGGCCACAA